CGGCACGGGUGAGUAACACGUAUCCAACCUGCCGUCUACUCGUUGGACAGCCUUCUGAAAGGAAGAUUAAUACAAGAUGGCAUCAUGAGUCCGCAUGUUCACAAUGAUUAAAGGUAUUCCGGUAGACGAUGGGGAUGCGUUCCAUUAGAUAGUAGGCGGGGUAACGGCCCACCUAGUCUUCGAUGGAUAGGGGUUCUGAGAGGAAGGUCCCCCACAUUGGAACUGAGACACGGUCCAAACUCCUACGGAAGGCAGCAG
rnacentral:rRNA from 1 species